UACAGAGGUCUCAAGCGUUUGUUCGGAUUCAUUGGGCGUAAAGGGUGCGUAGGCGGCGCGGUAAGUCGGCAUGUGAAAUCUCGGAGCUUAACUUCGAAACUGCAUUCGAUACUGCCGUGCUUGAGGACUGGAGAGGAGACUGGAAUUUACGGUGUAGCGGUGAAAUGCGUAGAUAUCGUAAGGAAGACCAGUGGCGAAGGCGGGGUCUCUGGACAGUUCCUGACACUGAGACACGAAGGCCAGGGGGAGCGAACGGGG
rnacentral:rRNA from 1 species